UACGUAGGUGGCUAGCGUUGUCCGGAUUUACUGGGCGUAAAGAGCGCGCAGGCGGUCGUUCAAGUCGAGUGUGAAAGCCCCCGGCUCAACUGGGGAGGGUCACUCGAUACUGAUCGACUCGAAGGCAGAAGAGGGAAGCGGAAUUCCCGGUGUAGUGGUGAAAUGCGUAGAUAUCGGGAGGAACACCAGUGGCGAAGGCGGCUUUCUGGUCUGGCUCUUGACGCUGAGGC
rnacentral:rRNA from 1 species